rnacentral:rRNA from 1 species
AGUUUAAGUUGUGUGCAAGUGGUAGGAGAGCGUUCUAUUUGCGUCGAAGGUAUACCGGUAAGGAGUGCUGGAGCGAAUAGAAGUGAGCAUGCAGGCAUGAGUAGCGAUAAUUAAUGUGAGAAUCAUUAACGCCGUAAACCCAAGGUUUCCUACGCGAUGCUCGUCAUCGUAGGGUUAGUCGGGUCCUAAGUCGAGUCCGAAAGGGGUAGACGAUGGCAAAUUGGUUAAUAUUCCAAUACCAACAUUAGUGUGCGAUGGAAGGACGCUUAGGGCUAAGGGGGCUAGCGGAUGGAAGUGCUAGUCUAAGGUCGUAGGAGGUUAUACAGGCAAAUCCGUAUAACAAUACUCCGAGAACUGAAAGGCUUUUUGAAGUCUUCGGAUGGAUAGAAGAACCCCUGAUGCCGUCGAGCCAAGAAAAGUUUCUAAGUUUAGCUAAUGUUGCCCGUACCGUAAACCGACACAGGUGGGUGGGAUGAGUAUUCUAAGGCGCGUGGAAGAACUCUCUUUAAGGAACUCUGCAAAAUAGCACCGUAUCUUCGGUAUAAGGUGUGGUUAGCUUUGUAUUAGGAUUUACUCCGAAAGCAAGGAAACUUACAACAAAGAGUCCCUCCCGACUGUUUACCAAAAACACAGCACUCUGCUAACUCGUAAGAGGAUGUAUAGGGUGUGACGCCUGCCCGGUGCUCGAAGGUUAAUUGAUGGGGUUAGCAUUAGCGAAGCUCUUGAUCGAAGCCCGAGUAAACGGCGGCCGUAACUAUAACGGUCCUAAGGUAGCGAAAUUCCUUGUCGGUUAAAUACCGACCUGCAUGAAUGGCGUAACGAGAUGGGAGCUGUCUCAAAGAGGGAUCCAGUGAAAUUGUAGUGGAGGUGAAAAUUCCUCCUACCCGCGGCAAGACGGAAAGACCCCGUGGACCUUUACUACAGCUUGACACUGCUACUUGGAUAAGAAUGUGCAGGAUAGGUGGGAGGCUUUGAGUAUAUGACGCCAGUUGUAUAUGAGCCAUUGUUGAGAUACCACUCUUUCUUAUUUGGGUAGCUAACCAGCUUGAGUUAUCCUCAAGUGGGACAAUGUCUGGUGGGUAGUUUGACUGGGGCGGUCGCCUCCCAAAUAAUAACGGAGGCUUACAAAGGUUGGCUCAGAACGGUUGGAAAUCGUUCGUAGAGUAUAAAGGUAUAAGCCAGCUUAACUGCAAGACAUACAAGUCAAGCAGAGACGAAAGUCGGUCUUAGUGAUCCGGUGGUUCUGUGUGGAAGGGCCAUCGCUCAAAGGAUAAAAGGUACCCCGGGGAUAACAGGCUGAUCUCCCCCAAGAGCUCACAUCGACGGGGAGGUUUGGCACCUCGAUGUCGGCUCAUCGCAUCCUGGGGCUGGAGCAGGUCCCAAGGGUAUGGCUGUUCGCCAUUUAAAGCGGUACGCGAGCUGGGUUCAGAACGUCGUGAGACAGUUCGGUCCCUAUCUGCCGUGGGCGUAAGAAGAUUGAAGAGAUUUGACCCUAGUACGAGAGGACCGGGUUGAACAAACCACUGGUGUAGCUGUUGUUCUGCCAAGAGCAUCGCAGCGUAGCUAAGUUUGGAAAGGAUAAACGCUGAAAGCAUCUAAGCGUGAAGCCAACUCUAAGAUGAAUCUUCUCUAAGCUCUCUAGAAGACUACUAGUUUGAUAGGCUGGGUGUGUAAUGGAUGAAAGUCCUUUAGCUGACCAGUACUAAUAGAGCGUUUGGCUUAUCU